rnacentral:rRNA from 1 species
GGGCCCGCACAAGCGGUGGAGUAUGUGGUUUAAAUUCGACGCAACGCGCAGAACCUUACCCAGUCUAGAAGUCAUAGGAACCCGACAGAAACGUUGGGGUGCCCUUUUCGGGAAUCUAUGUGACAGGUGCUGCAUGGCUGUCGUCAGCUCGUGUCGUGAGAUGUUCGGUUAAGUCCGGUAACGAGCGCAACCCCUAUCCUUAGUUGCCAAUCAUGGAACUCUAAGGAGACUGCCGGUGUUAAAACCGGAGGAAGGUGGGGACGACGUCAAAGUCCUCAUGGCCCUUGACGACUGGGGCUACACACGUACUACAUGCUACGGACAAAGGGCACAAGUUGCGAGGAC